CUCACCCUCUCUUGCUCUUUCCGCCUAUAUACCGCCGUCGUCAGCUUACCCUGUGAAGGGCCAAUAGUGAGCAUAAUCGGCACAGCCCAGUACGUCAGGUCGAGGUGUAGUGUAUGAGGGGGGAAGAGAUGGGCUACAUUUACUAACAAUAGUAAAUACGAAUACUGCAUUGAAACAUGCAGCUGAAGGUGGAUUUAGUAGUAAGCCGGAAACAGAGUGUCCUGCUGAAAUUGGCUCUAAAGCGCGUACAUACCGCCCGUCACCCUCUCUAAGUUCUACAGAAACAUUAUACCCAAUAAGCCUUCGCUUGCAGAAGGGAGGAAAGUCGUAACAUGGUAAGCGUACCGGAAGGUGUGCUUGGUAUAAAU
rnacentral:rRNA from 1 species